CAUCUUUUCAGUGUAGUCUAUUAUAGGGUGUAGUGGGUUACAGGCAUAGCCGAUCCUGGGCGGGUGCACGGGGUGCACCUCACCCAGGCGCUCUGUGAGUAGAGGAUCAUUGCGGUGUUAGGCUCAGCCCCUCUCGCUAAGUCCGCCCUUUGUUUUAAGCUCCACCUCCUGUCUGAAGGCCCCAUGGAGCUCCUGGAAGGCUG